UGGGGGAUCGUCUAGUGGUAGGACAUCGGACUCUGACUCCGACAGCGGGGGUUCGAAUCCCUCUCCCCCAGCCA
rnacentral:tRNA from 1 species